GUGUACUUUAUUUCUAUUAUUAUUACAUCAGCUCCACUUCAAAUCAUCAGACAUUAGAUCCCAGAGGUUGGGGACACCUGCAUAAACCAUUUUAGUAAACAUGUACUAUUAUCUCCCCAAUCUACAGGUGAAGACAUACAGGACUAAAAAGGUUAAAGAGUGCUUGAACUCACAAAACACAGUUGCUUCACAGCGUUGGUUUCUGCUGCACAGCCAAGGGGAUCGGCCAUGCGCGCACACGCAUCCUCUUUUCUGGACUUCCUUCCCAUUCAGGAAAGCACUAAAUCCUUUCAUGGUGACGUCAGCUCCUCAAGACCAGCAGAAAACCUUUUGGAAAUAAGCACUUGAUUGAACUCCCCCUACACUGAGAUCAUAUUUGCUGACCUUCUCCCACUACCUCCUUGGAGCAGUUUCUCAGCUCUCUGAGGGGCUGUCCCCCAGGCUGCAGUCCUCAUUUUGCCCCCAAUAAAACUUUACUCCUAACUCUCACGUUGUGCAUCUUUUGGUAGUUGACAUAUCUAACAGCUCUAAUUUGAUCCUAGUAUCUUACAUUGUGCUUCCUGGUGGCUCAGCUGGUAAAGAAUCCGCCUGCAAUGUGGGAGACCUGGGUUCGAUCCCUGGGUCAGGAAGAUCCCCUGGAGAAGGGAAUGACAACCCACUCCAGUAUCUUGCCUGGACAAUUCCAUGGAUAGAGGAGCCUGGCGGGCUACAGUACGUGGGGUCAAAAAUAGUUGGACAUGACUGAGCAACUUAUGCUCUUACAUUUAACAUCUCAAAGCCAGAACUUUUCACCCACCAUCUGCUCAGGUGUCAUGCAUUGAAC
ensembl:lncRNA